rnacentral:rRNA from 1 species
GUGAGGAAUAUUGGUCAAUGGACGAGAGUCUGAACCAGCCAAGUCGCGUGAAGGAAGACGGUUCUAUGAAUUGUAAACUUCUUUUGUGCAGGAAUAAAGUGGGUUACGUGUAACCUUUUGUAUGUACUGUACGAAUAAGGAUCGGCUAACUCCGUGCCAGCAGCCGCGGUAAUACGGAGGAUCCGAGCGUUAUCCGGAUUUAUUGGGUUUAAAGGGUGCGUAGGCGGAUUGGAAAGUCAGCGGUGAAAGUUUGCAGCUUAACUGUAAAAUUGCCAUUGAAACUGUCAGUCUUGAGUGCAAAUGAGGUAGGCGGAAUGUGUUGUGUAGCGGUGAAAUGCAUAGAUAUAACACAGAACACCAAUUGCGAAGGCAGCUUACUGGGCCAUUACUGACGCUGAUGCACGAAAGCGUGGGGAUCGAACAGGAUUAGAUACCCCAGUAGUCC